rnacentral:rRNA from 1 species
UCUACGGGAGGCAGCAGUGGGGGAAUUAUUGACAUUGGGGAAGCCUGAUCCAGCAUGCGCGUGUGUGAGAGCUUUGGUGUAAAGCACUUUAAGCAGUGAAGAAGACUCUCGGUAUACCCGAGACGAUGACAUUAGCUGCAGAUAAGCACCGGCUAACUCUGUGCCAGCAGCCGCGGUAAUACAGAGGGUGCAAGCGUUAAUCGGAAUUACUGGGCGUAAAGCGAGCGUAGGUGGCUUGAUAAGUCAGAUGUGAAAUCCCCGGGCUUAACCUGGGAACUGCAUCUGAAACUGUUAGGCUAGAGUAGGUGAGAGGGAAGUAGAAUUUCAGGUGUAGCGGUGAAAUGCGUAGAGAUCUGAAGGAAUACCGAUGGCGAAGGCAGCUUCCUGGCAUCAUACUGACACUGAGGCUCGAAAGCGUGGGUAGCAAACAGGAUUAGAUACCCUGGUAGUCCACGCCGUAAACGAUGUCUACUAGUCGUUGGGUCCCUUGAGGACUUAGUGACGCAGCUAACGCAAUAAGUAGACCGCCUGGGGAGUACGGCCGCAAGGUUAAAACUCAAAUGAAUUGACGGGGGCCCGCACAAGCGGUGGAGCAUGUGGUUUAAUUCGAUGCAACGCGAAGAACCUUACCUGGUCUUGACAUAUCUAGAAUCCUGCAGAGAUGCGGGAGUGCCUUCGGGAAUUAGAAUACAGGUGCUGCAUGGCUGUCGUCAGCUCGUGUCGUGAGAUGUUGGGUUAAGUCCCGCAACGAGCGCAACCCUUGUCCUUAGUUACCAGCGGGUUAAGCCGGGAACUCUAAGGAUACUGCCAGUGACAAACUGGAGGAAGGCGGGGACGACGUCAAGUCAUCAUGGCCCUUACGACCAGGGCUACACACGUGCUACAAUGGUAGGUACAGAGGGCAGCUACACAGCGAUGUGAUGCGAAUCUCAAAAAGCCUAUCGUAGUCCAGAUUGGAGUCUGCAACUCGACUCCAUGAAGUAGGAAUCGCUAGUAAUCGCGGAUCAGAAUGCCGCGGUGAAUACGUUCCCGGGCCUUGUACACACCGCCCGUCACACCAUGGGAGUUGAUUGCACCAGAAGUGGAUAGCUUAACCGUAAGGGGAGCGUUCACCACGGUGUGGUUGAUGACUGGGGUGAAGUCGAACAAGAGCGGGUCAC